rnacentral:rRNA from 1 species
AACGAACGCUGGCGGCGUGGAUAAGACAUGCAAGUCGAGCGGAAUAUUUCGGGUAGCAAUAUUCGGAAUGUUCAGCGGCGCAAGGGUGCGUAACACGUGGGUAAUCUACCUUGAAGCCCGGAAUAACUCCGAGAAAUCGGAGCUAAUACCGGAUGUGAUAUUUGGAUGGCAUCACCUGGAUAUCAAAGUUGGGGACCGUAAGGCCUGACACUUCUAGAUGAGCCCGCGGCCUAUCAGCUAGUUGGUGAGGUAAUGGCUCACCAAGGCUAAGACGGGUAGCUGGUCUGAGAGGACGACCAGCCACACUGGAACUGAGACACGGUCCAGACACCUACGGGUGGCAGCAGUCGAGAAUUUUUCACAAUGGGCGCAAGCCUGAUGGAGCGACGCCGCGUGGGGGAUGAAUGGCUUCGGCCCGUAAACCCCUGUCAUUUGCGAACAAACCUUUCGGCUUAAUACGUCGAGAGCUGAUUGUAGCGGAAGAGGAAGGGACGGCUAACUCUGUGC